GCUUAAGCUUCAGGGCCCUCACAUGCACUAGUCUGUAUGAGUAUGGGGAUUGUCAAGUGUUCUGGAUGGUAAAAGGAAGUCAGACUACAACAGGAAGCAUUUCAUAUAAGCAUUUCUGAUAAAUUGCCCUCUGUAAACUAGAAUAUGAAUCUCUAAGUUGCCAUGGCCUGACUUAUUUUCUCAUUCUAAAAAUCUAUGUAAUUUAUAUAAUUUUUAAGAAGUAUUUCUAUUUGUACCUGUUAGUUUUGAUACUUUUGUAUUAUACCAGGAGACCUCCCCAAGUUGAACAAACUAUGGGCACACAGAGCCUAGAUCUCCUCCUGGGAAGGAGAACAUUGGUACUGAAGAAGUAAGGAAACUGAAAAACUGUGCUGAGAUCCAAAAUGUCAGGAGGGGACUCUGGAGUGUCAGCCCACCGGAAGGAACAAAGGCAAUUAAGGUAUGGAUUAUCUGCCAGGCCAUGGCCUCCUUCUAAGUGCACUGCAGAGAGAAGCCAACAGAUAUUCUUUUCACACCAGAUUCAAGAAAAAACAUGAUGCAAGAAGAAAUGUCAAAAUCAAGGAUCUUAUCUAAAAAUACAAUGUUCUGACUAUAGAAAGUAAGUCAAAGCAAAUAGACCAAAAAUCAGGUUCCAAACUUAAAUAUUUCCGGAAGAGUCUCCAAAUU
rnacentral:lncRNA from 1 species